GCCCGGGUGGCGAAACGGCAGACGCAGAGGGCUUAAACCCCUCGGCCGAAAGGCGUGCGGGUUCGAGUCCCGCCCCGGGCA
rnacentral:tRNA from 1 species